UACGUAGGGGGCAAGCGUUGUCCGGAUUUAUUGGGCGUAAAGAGCGUGUAGGCGGCCAGACAGGUCCGUUGUGAAAACUAGAGGCUUAACCUCUAGACGUCGAUGGAAACCGUCUGGCUAGAGUCCGGAAGAGGAGAAUGGAAUUCCUGGUGUAGCGGUGAAAUGUGCAGAUAUCAGGAAGAACACCCGUGGCUAAGGCGGUUCUCUAGUACGGUACUGACGCUGAGACGCGAAAGCGUGGGGAGCGAACAGG
rnacentral:rRNA from 1 species